rnacentral:lncRNA from 1 species
AUAGAGCAAUUUAAGAGUUCUGCUUUUUUCCUUGUUUCCUGUGAGGGAUGGAGACUCCUCAUUGCUGGGGUUUCAUUAUAAAUGUGACCUCAACUGACAUGGCAUCUCUUAAUAAGGGGCAAGUCCUUCAUGUAUUUUUGAUAGUGCACCAGUGACAAAAUCCCUCUCAGUUUAGCAGAAAAAUACCGCAAGAGUAAAUUGUCAAUGACAAUAUCAGUAUACUCACUGGGCUUCAGGGAUUAAGUGAAUAGCAGCCAUGGCCAGACCCUGACAUGGCUUCAGGCACUUAAAAAAAAAAAAAAAAAAGCGGUCAAAUUAAAGCCACAUAUAUGAGGGGAGGGAAGCCUUCCUACCCCAGCAGGGAGAUACCUUGAUUAAAGCUCAGUCUGACCUUCCUGCUUCAUCUCCACAGAAAUUGAGACACAUUUCCUAAAUGGCAGGACUUUACAGAAUCAUAAUGAGCAAGGACCAGGAUGCUUUGCGUUAAAUUUCCAUCUUCAUUCCUGGAGCAGGCAAAGGAGAAAAUAAGAGAAGGUCUCUAUUAUUUGUUAUCAAAAGAACAAUGCAGCCCUCCCCUGUUUCUUUUGUGCAGAGACAGAUUUUUGUAAUAGCGUACGUGAUGAUGCUUGUAUUCUAUUCCACAUUAUUCCUAAUGAUGUGCUAUUCAAU